ACUUUGCAUUCUAUAAGAAACCUUCCUUCUAUCAUUUCUACAGGUUUUAGGCCACACAAUAUCUGAAUCCACCGUUGCUUUCAGCAAUCCUGGUAAUAAAAAUUAUUCAUCACUCAAAACUAAGAUCAGAUGUCACUUCCUUUAUAAACUAUUUCCUGAAUCCCUAAUCAGGGAUCGAGUUAAGGGAGCGUGGAGUGGAGAAUUGGACUGCCCAUUUGAACAUUCUCUUUAAU
rnacentral:lncRNA from 1 species